UUUCGAUUGCAAAUGCAGGCAUAUGUGUGUAAAUAUGUUUGCUUGACUUUUUUAACUCUAACCACAAAGAGGCCUACCUUCCAUCUUAAUUUUUAGUGCAGUCUACAUCGGACAGCAGUGACAAUUGGGAUACCUGAUACAUAUUAGAGGACUGUCACUCGUUCACAUUCCUGGAAAUCGAUUUGAGAGUGCUUUUGCAGUUACAAGAACAAAAGCCUAACAACUCAUUUCGUACCUUAUCAUUGCGACAGAAAAUUCAAAUGAAAUCACCCUCCCCUUCACAUAAAAAAAAUCUUAACCGUAGUUCUUUCCUCUUGAAGGGAAAACAUCAAAACUUCAGCUAUGAAAAAACAAAUGCUCGAAAUGGGCGUGGCUGCUCAGAAACUGCUUUUGUGACCCCUCUAUUUCGAAAGAUAUUUUCGAAUCUUUAUUCUAAUAUUAUACUUCUUAAGAUGUUAAGACAGAAGAUGCGAGAACUUCUCACUUUAUAAUUUUCGGAAUUCCUUCGGGCUUUACUACGGCAAACAGACUUUCGGAACGUUGAAAGAUAGUAAAAGAACCCUCAAUUUAAAAAGAAACAACAACAUGCUAUAUUUUUUAUUUAUUACACAUAGAGGUUUAUUAGGUAUUAUUUCACAUUAGAAUGUAUGUAUAAUCGAACGUAUGCAAUUCUAUUUCAAUGUGACUCCAAAUGCGCACAAUACUGAUCAUUGCUUUCUGUGUGGGAAAUGAAAAAUAUAAUACCGUUGUAAGAACUAUUUUAUAAAAAAUACAUAUUUAUACAUCUUUGAA